rnacentral:rRNA from 1 species
UAGGGAAUCUUCGGCAAUGGACGAAAGUCUGACCGAGCAACGCCGCGUGAGUGAAGAAGGUGUUCGGAUCGUAAAACUCUGUUGUUAGAGAAGAACAAGGACGUUAGUAACUGAACGUCCCCUGACGGUAUCUAACCAGAAAGCCACGGCUAACUACGUGCCAGCAGCCGCGGUACUACGUAGGUGGCAAGCGUUGUCCGGAUUUAUUGGGCGUAAAGCGAGCGCAGGCGGUUUCUUAAGUCUGAUGUGAAAGCCCCCGGCUCAACCGGGGAGGGUCAUUGGAAACUGGGAGACUUGAGUGCAGAAGAGGAGAGUGGAAUUCCAUGUGUAGCGGUGAAAUGCGUAGAUAUAUGGAGGAACACCAGUGGCGAAGGCGGCUCUCUGGUCUGUAACUGACGCUGAGGCUCGAAAGCGUGGGGAGCAAACAGG